AACCGGGGUCGGGGUCGGCCUGUGGGGUCGUACAAGUCCCCCCUCCCGACCCCCGCGGUGCGCCCAGGAGCCCCAGGGUCGGGGUUCGCCCAGCAGCGGCCCAGCAACCCCAGCCUGACCCAGACCCAGCAGCUGGCCCUGGCGGGACAGCUCUUCCAGGGGUUGCAGAACAACAAGGGGGUUGGGGGCAAGGGGGGUCAGACCCCCAGCAUCUCCAUCACGGCGCUCCCCCGCGCGGGGGGUCCGACCCCCACGGCGACCCCCACGACCCCCACGGGGGUCAAGACAACCCCUGGCAAGGACGGCAAGCCUUCCUUUGUCAUCUGCGAGAUAUGCGAUGGUUAUAUAAAGGACCUGGAGCAGCUGCGUAACCAC
rnacentral:lncRNA from 1 species